rnacentral:lncRNA from 1 species
UGAGGAAACUGAAGGCAAGAAGUUGCCAAGUUUAGACAAUUGGUAAGGUGUAUUAGUUCAUUCUCAUGCUGCUAUAAAGAACUGCCUGAGAUUGGGUAAUUUAUAAAGAAAGGAGGUUUAAUCGACUCACAGUUCCACAUGGCUGUGGAGGCCUCAGGAAACUUACAAUCAUGGUGGAAGAGGAAGCAAACAAGCCCCUUAUAAGACCAUCAGAUCUUGUGCCAACUCACUCACUACCAUGAGAACAGCGUGGAGAAACCACCCCCGUGAUCUAAUCACCUCCCACAAGGUCCCUCCCCCAACACGUGGGGAUUACAAUUUGUAUCACAAUUCAAGAUGAGAUUUUGAGUGGGGACACAGCCUAAGCAUAUCAGCCUGAAUGCUUCCCACCCCACCACCUUGGUUAUAAAAGGCCUACUUCCUCAGCUGGUCAUUGGCAGCUGAGGGCUCAGUCACAUUUCACAACAGAAGCCUCCUGUCUGGGGUCCCUCUUCCACAGCUUUUUCCUACUGGAUGUCCACCAUGUUUCCUGGCUGUGUAGGAAUCACUGACCUUCCUGGCUGUUUGGAGACUUUCUAGUUUAUGGGUCCUACAUUUGCAAGACAGAAUUCAGAAAACUUUCUUCAGCUUUCUUUACAGCUAUUCACUCCCUCUCAUGACAGCUGGAUUAGAAGUGGGCAACUGGUGGAGGGUGGAUCCAUGAGGAGUUCACUUUGCUAGCAAGAGUGGUGACUGAGACUGCCUGUUCUUGGGAGUGGCAGGGGUUGCAAAGUUAGGCUCCUGGCACAGAAGUGGCUUUGAUGGUGUGGUGGUGGCAGUGGGGUCAAUUUCCUUAUCUG